UACCUACGGGAGGCAGCAGUAGGGAAUUUUCGUCAAUGGGGGAAACCCUGAACGAGCAAUGCCGCGUGGGUGAAGAAGGCCUUCGGUAUGUAAAGUUCUAUCAGCAGGGAAGAAAAUGACAGUACCUGACCAAGAAGCCCCGGCUAACUACGUGCCAGCAGCCGCGGUAAUACGUAGGGGGCGAGCGUUAUCCGGAUUCACUGGGCGUAAAGGGAGCGCAGGCGGCACGGCAAGUCCGGUGUGAAAGCCCGGGGCCCAACCCCGGGACUGCACUGGAAACUGCCGGGCUGGAGUGUCGGAGGGGC
rnacentral:rRNA from 1 species